rnacentral:other from 1 species
UUGAUCCUGCCCUGUUUGCGGGAUUUUUGGGUCCUCUUAAACCCACAUCACUAAUAAGGGAUGCCACAUUCCUGGGUGAAUUGCAGGCCUCCCGGCUCCCCAUUCAGAGGGAUGUUGGAAGUUGGAAGCGUGGAAGCACAGGAGAGGCGACCCACCUGCCGGAGACGUGCAGGUUAUAAUAGGACCCCCACGGCAGCGGCGGGGAAAGC